GACGAACGCUGGCGGCGUGCUUAACACAUGCAAGUCGAACGCUGAAGCCCUUUCGGGGGUGGAUGAGUGGCGAACGGGUGAGUAACACGUGGGUAAUCUGCCCUGCACUCUGGGAUAAGCCUUGGAAACGGGGUCUAAUACCGGAUAGGACACAUCGCCGCAUGGUGUGUGUGUGGAAAGUUCCGGCGGUGCAGGUUGAGCCCGCGGCCUAUCAGCUUGUUGGUGGGGUGAUGGCCUACCAAGGCGACGACGGGUAGCCGGCCUGAGAGGGUGACCGGCCACACUGGGACUGAGGCACGGCCCAGACUCCUACGGGAGGCAGGAGUGGGGAAUCUUGCGCAAUGGGCGAAAGCCUGACGCAGCAACGCCGCGUGGGGGAUGACGGCCUUCGGGUUGUAAACCUCUUUCGACCGGGACGAAGGGUGACUGACGGUACCGGUAGAAGAAGCACCGGCUAACUACGUGCCAGCAGCCGCCGUAA
rnacentral:rRNA from 1 species